GCGCUGCCUUUGAGCCCCCUCUGCGCCUGCGCGUGGCGCCGGGGGUUAAGCUGCAGCGCUCGGCGCGUUUAGCGUGAGUGAGCGCCAUGG